AGGCAAAAAAGAAAAAGAAAAAAAAAAAAAAAGGAAAUGAAGUCCAAUGUCAUUUGUGACAUUUAACUAUUUAAGAGUCUGUGUGUGCAGAGAAAAGCUGGUGUAUGAGUUCCAUUUUCUAGCUCUUCAUCUUUGAAGAGAGUUAGAUGCAGGUGUGUGUAACUAUUCAAAGUUCAGAGUCUCUGAGGUGUGUGUGUGUGGGUUGGGAUCUCAUACGUGUCAUUGGGACGUGUUGCAUGAGUAAGGGCUUUCUCUUACCUUUCCCACAGUCUGUGCUUUCACCUUUCAUCUUUCUUUUUUUUUUUUUUCUUUCUCCAUUCCAUCAUGUUACUUUUCUUAACAAGUAUUUUAUAUCAGUUAAAACAUGUCUUUUUAUUCUUUUACCUUUUAAUUUAAUACACCUGUUAGUUAGUUUUCCUUUUAUAAUUUUGAGAUGUUCUUGAUAGUUAUGAAUAAUCAAACCCUAAUGGAUCUUCCAGUAAUUGAAUUGUGGAUGAAUAAGAUGGUGUGUGGGAGGUGGCGUGGAUCGUAUAUAACAGUCCUUGGUUUUUCCUUUAAUGGGUGUCUCUCUAUUCUUCCAGAUCUGAAUGAAUUCAGAUUUUUUUCCCCUUUUGAUUGCUGAAAUCCACUUUUCCUUUUCGUGAAGCUUUCCAAAUUUGGUGAGUCAUUUUGUUUUUCCGCUUUGUUUUUGUUUCUUGGAACAUAGAAAUUGACAGAAGAGAGUGAGCACACAGAGGCACCUGGUAUAGUCAUACACUGUUACUUUUGCGUGCUCACUUCUCUUUCUGUCAACUUCCAGUGCUGGAAAUUACUUCCAAUCUGGCUCUGCUUUGUUCCAAUUCCCACCAAACAAACCCCAACUCAACCCCACACACCACCUCAACUCAACAACAACAACAUCGUCAUCCAUGCCUCACAACAGAAAGCGUGACUUUUGAUAGCGUGGCAGAACCAAGUCCCUCAUCAACAGUGCAGGUUAAUUAGCGGCAAUUUUUUUAAUAAGUAUAGCAUAGCAUGGGACCAUGGACCAUUCACGUCAUUUAGAAUGGUCCUCACAGAUUUUUUUUCUUUUUCUAACAUUGUCUUCCUGAUUUCAUGUUCAUCAUUCCCUAUAUUUUAUAAUUCUUCCACAUGCGAACGAGGUUUAUUAAUUAAGAGUACUGAUUCAUGUUCACUAGUUUUUGUGCCCACCUCAGGUUAUUAGCUAGAUUCUAGUUUCGUGGACUUUUUUUCAUGUGUGUGUGUUAACCGGUUUUGGUUGCUUUAUCUGUUAAACCCUAUCACCUUAACUGUAGUGUACGUUGUUUGUACUCAGCUACGACAAAGUUGUUUUUGAGAGUUUCCGAAUGUCAACACUGUUUUGAUUCCUUUUGCCUACUAACUAUAACACUUUGAUUCUCCCCUUCCUAUAUAUGUCUUCAAUAUUUCGGAGAUUUUCUUGUUAAGUUCUUUUUACUUUUGAACUUUGCAGUGUGUUUGAACAAGCUGCACCCUGAUUUUUCUGAGUUUGAUGCGGAUUUAAACUUAGGCUUUCACCAUUAUUACUUCUUUGUAAAAUGUUGGAAAAGAACCAUGAUUAUGUUGUCUGUUAAUUAUUUGAAAUAGGUUGUUCAAGCUAAAGCUGGUAGUUGUAUGAUAUAUCGUGAAUGAUGGAGAAUUGAAGAGGUUAAUGUUCAAUCUCAGACAUAGGCUAAUCAACACCUUACUCCUGUCGUGUCUAAUUAAUGGAAAUUCAUUUCUAUACAUAAAAUCAAAUGAUAUUAUAACUACUCUUGGUAUAGUCUCCAACUACCACCUCUACAUAGUGGUUUCUAAUUCUACUAUUCUGGAUGUUAACAAAUUUUCCCUUUUAUUGGAAGUUGGAGAUUACUCAUCCAUUUAUUUCCUCCAUGUUAAGGUUUUCGAAGAAAAAAAGAAAAAGUAAUUUUAUUUAUAUGAAGAAAAACUGUUUCGGUGAUCUGGUUUAUAUUUAUGUUAGUUUGUAAGCACUGGUAUAAUAAUUAUUAUUAUUAUUAUUUAGAAUUUAUAAUGUUUAGUAAGGUUUUGCAGGUUUUAAAUUGUAAUUUUGUAUAUUUAUUUAAUAGUUUGAGAAUUUAUCUUUUAUGGAGUUGUAACAUGAAGCACCUAUCCUUUUCACAUUUAUUUUGGUUUUCCUUUGAUGGAGACAAUAUAUAUUCAUUUGUGAAAAGAGAACAUGGAAUUGGUGGCUGUCUUAGAAGGAGUACGUCGUGGAUAUGCUUGCAUUUCUAUUUUAUUUUAUUUUAUUUUCCUAAAUUUCUUUAGAUUCAAUUGUAUAUUUAUAUUCUAUAUCUAUAUAUAUGAUCUGAAAAAUACGCUCCACAAUUUCUAUAUAUCACUACAUUUAUCACCACUUCUAAAUAUCUGUGAUUCGAUUUUACUUCUUGGUACUCAAUUUUUUUGUCUUUCAAUUUGCUUUGUAAUUCUGAAGAAGUAAAGAUUUGAGGGAAAUGAAGUUAUAUUGUGAGCAUUUGUUGUUUUAUAUAGCAGUGGUUUGAUUCAUUGAAAAACAUUUGACUCAUAUACGCUAUUGCUAUUGUUUUUGUUUUUGUUUUUGUAGGUAAUUGGUUACUACUCGUGAUGUUUUUUGUCUUGUCAUUACAGUAUACAAAGUAAUUGUUGUCUACCUAGGUCAGAUAACCAAACAUUUACGACCACCCCACAAGACUAAUAUAUAAAAACCCUUUGGAUUUGAGUAAUGAUAAGUGGACUCCAUUUUUGUAGUGUAUUGAUGGAAAGAAGAAAAAUAAAAGGAAACGUGAUGAAAUAUGCGAGAAAGAAAAAUGAAAGUUGAUUUAAACGUUUUUUAUUCCAUGGCUUGAAUUUUGCAUAAGCCACAGAAAUUUUGUUUUUAAGAGGUUAAAGAUUGCACCAGUGAAUCAUUCUUGUAUGUGGAAGCGUGUAAAUUUCACUUUAAAAUUGAAAGUCUGUUAGAUUUCAGAAGGAUUUCAA